CCUACGGGGGGCUGCAGUGGGGAAUAUUGGACAAUGGGCGAAAGCCUGAUCCAGCCAUGCCGCGUGAAGGAUGAAGGCCUUAGGGUUGUAAAGUUCUUUUGUCAGGGAAGAUAAUGACGGUACCUGAAGAAUAAGCACCGGCUAACUUCGUGCCAGCAGCCGCGGUAAUACGAAGGGUGCUAGCGUUGUUCGGAAUCACUGGGCGUAAAGCGCGCGUAGGCGGCGAUACAAGUCAGAGGUGAAAGCCUGGAGCUCAACUCCAGAACUGCCUUUGAAACUGUAUUGCUAGAGUGUCGGAGGGGAUAGCGGAAUUGCUAAUGUAGAGGUGAAAUUCGUAGAUAUUAGCAGGAACACCGGUGGCGAAGGCGGCUAUCUGGACGACAACUGACGCUGAGGCGCGAAAGCGUGGGGAUCAAACAGGAUUAGAUACCCCAGUAGUC
rnacentral:rRNA from 1 species